GUGCCAGCAGCCGCGGUAAUACGUAGGUGGCAAACGUUGUCCGGAUUUAUUGGGCGUAAAGCGAGCGCAGGCGGUUCUUUAAGUCUGAUGUGAAAGCCCCCGGCUCAACCGGGGAGGGUCAUUGGAAACUGGAGAACUUGAGUGCAGAAGAGGAGAGUGGAAUUCCACGUGUAGCGGUGAAAUGCGUAGAUAUGUGGAGGAACACCAGUGGCGAAGGCGACUCUCUGGUCUGUAACUGACGCUGAGGCUCGAAAGCGUGGGGAGCAAACAGGAUUAGAUA
rnacentral:rRNA from 1 species